CAAUAGCGUAUAUUUAAGUUGCUGCAGUUAAAAAGCUCGUAGUUGGAUUUCGGGUGGGAAUGGCCGGUCCGCCGUUUCGGUGUGCACUUGCUACGCCCACCUUGCUGCCGGGGACGUGCUCUUGAGUUCACGCUCGGGACACGGAGUCGGCGAGGUUACUUUGAGUAAAUUAGAGCGUUCAAAGCAGGCCUACGCUCUGAAUACAUUAGCAUGGAAUAACACGAUAGGACUCUGGCCUAUCUUGUUGGUCUGUAGGACCGGAGUAACGAUUAAGAGGGACAGUCGGGGGCAUUCGUAUUUCAUUGUCAGAGGUGAAAUUCUUGGAUUUAUGAAAGACGAACUACUGCGAAAGCAUUUGCCAAGAGUGUUUUCAUUAA
rnacentral:rRNA from 1 species